GAUGAACGCUGGCGGCGUGCUUAACACAUGCAAGUCGAACGGAGUGCCUUUGAAAGAGGAUUCGUCCAAUUGAUAAGGUUACUUAGUGGCGGACGGGUGAGUAACGCGUGAGGAACCUGCCUUGGAGUGGGGAAUAACACAGUGAAAAUUGUGCUAAUACCGCAUAAUGCAGUUGGGCCGCAUGGCUCUGACUGCCAAAGAUUUAUCGCUCUGAGAUGGCCCUCGCGUCCUGACUUAGCUAGUUGGUGGGGUAACGGCCCACCAAAGGCGACGAUCCAGUAGCCGGACUGAGAGGUUGGCCGGCCACAUU
rnacentral:rRNA from 1 species